UACGGGGGGGGCAAGCGUUGUUCGGAAUUACUGGGCGUAAAGCGCGGGCAGGCGGCUCGAAACGUCUGAUGUGAAAUCUCCUCGCUCAACGGGGAGAGGCCAUUGGAAACGGUCGGGCUGGAGGGCAGUAGAGGUAGGCGGAAUUCCGGGUGGAGUGGUGAAAUGCGUAGAGAUCCGGAGGAACACCAGAGGCGAAGGCGGCCUACUGGGCUGCACCUGACGCUGAGCCGCGAAAGCCAGGGGAGCGAACGGG
rnacentral:rRNA from 1 species